GGAAGUGGAGGAGGAUGAGGAGAGGAGGGGAUGAAGGGGAGCACCCAUGCAUGGAGGUUAUAUCCUGUGCCACUUUUUGGGCUGUGGGACAUCCUCACUGGAAAGGAGCCUAAUCCUAAGGAGAGAAGACCUUUUCCACUAAAAAACCCUGGGAUGUGUCACUGAAGGAAAUGCAGAAGCCAAACACUCAGACAAUUUGGAAAGGCACGCCAAUUUUUUUUUCCAAGAUGAAACAACUGCUGCAGCUCCCCUCAGCUGCAAGAAGCUCAGUGGAUAUCUUCCCACCAGCAGCUUCUCCGCUGGCUCUUGUUGAGCCAUGGGCAAGCUGUGGCCAUGGGGCAAAUGGACCACACUGAACUCUUUAAUUGUCCCAGGGACAAACUUAGGCAAAUGUGUUGAGCUGCUAAGCAGCCUGGGACCAGCUCCAUUUGGGUAUUGCCAAAAUUCAGCACCCUUCUCGGCGUACCCGCUCUGGGGUGGCUCCGGCAACUCGGAGGAGCCCCAAAGGUGGAGGCAGCAGAAAUCUGGGUGGCAGGCCUGAUGUGGGUCCCUGCUCAGGUCCGGAGCUGAGUGGGGACGUAGGCUGCUGGGUGGGCUCCUGGCCAAACACAUGCCUUGGAGAGGAGAGAACAGAAAUGCUUUGCUGAUAAAAGGAUUCUUGGAGAUGCCCCCAAGCCAUUACCCACGAGCAGGUGUUCACUGGGCACAAAUGGGAUGAGCGAAGAGGGAUCAGCACGUAGGGAAUGGCAUCGGUGCUUUUGUUUCCAGAACUGCGAAAGUACUGCAGGCCUGAGAGAGCAGAAAGCAGGAGCUGCAAAAGGUCAGAACUGUGGCAUGGGGAUGAUCAGGGAUGUCCUGUGCCCACACGUGGGUGGCAGUGAUUCCUUAGGGAGGGCACAUUAUGGGAUGGAUGGUGUGUCUGUGGGCUCCACGUGCUCCCUGGGGCAGGUCUGCUGGAGCAGAGGGUUGCAAGACUCUGAAUCCUACCCCAGUUUCCCAUCAGGAGCAGAGGAAGCAUCAACUGGUGCUCUUCGCAGUGGGUAAUGGUCCAAUAUCAGCGGGCUCAGCAUGCUCUGGGUGCAUCCUCUGGCUUUUCCAGACUGCAGAGGUAGUGGCACGUUGAUCAGCUCUGGAGUCCUGCUUGCUGUUGUUGCAUGCUUUGGGGCGGGGAGGAAGGAAGGGGGGAGGCUCCUCUCCCCUUGGAAGAAGCAGGGAUGUGCAUUAAGCUUUCUCCACUGAGUAUUUCUGCCUUUUGCCUCUGAGCCGCCCCCCUCCCCACGCAUUCCUGCACAAACCCCUUUUGUUCGCUGCCCUCAGCCAGCAUCCAGGCAGCAACAGCAGCCCAGAUGUUCCCUAUCAAACACAGAGCCAUGCCAACAAACUUUGGCACACAUGAAAGUGUGCUGAGGAAUGGGCCUCAGCAAAUACCAUUUUUUCCUCUCCCCUCCCAUUCCUGCAAGUAUUUUUAAAUGCUAAUGGCUUCCACGCUGUGACAGCUUGGGGAGGGCUGUGAAAUAGCGAUGAGGGGCAAAUCUGCCCUGGUCUCAAGCCCCUCAUUCCCCUGAUGUGGACAAGCCGGUGGUGUUUUCCCAAGGGAAAUGCUACUUGGAGGCAGCAGACCCAGCCCAGCCUGCAGAGAGGAUGCAGACGAUGGUCUGGGGAGAAUUGCAUUAAAUCUGGGUGAUCGCAUGAGUCCAAAACUCUGCCUAUAGGGGCAACAAAUCUGCUUCUGUACAGGACAUCUUCUCGAGGCUGUGUGGGCAUGUGCUUUGAUGGAGGAGCUCCUAUUGCACCCUGAUAUGUAAAGACCAUAUGGAUAACAGCCACUGAAGGCACAUACGUGUGCUCCCGUGCACUCUACUGUAUUCUCUACCUUGCAGGGCUGAGCCCUGCCCCACCUCCCUGGGCAGCCAGGCUCAGGAGACAAAUGCCUACCCUCACCCAUGUUAGCUGAAGCAAGCAAAGGCUGUUUUUGCUAGAAAAUCCAUCUGAUCUGAGAGAUUCCCAUUUUUUUUGGCACCAAGGCUCUUCAAAGACAGCCGGAUUGGCUUUUCUCCCCCUCUCCUAUAAUGGCAGCAAUGUAUUUUUUCACUCCUCUCUCACAUUGUAAAGGCUGAAGUGCUUUUGCUCAAAUUUAAAAAUCAAAUCACAUCUGGAGGAAGCCCAGACCUUGCGAGUUUCCACAGAGGGUGGUGAACCUCUCUCUCUAGAUGACUGAGAUAAUCUCCUUGAGGAACUCGCCCAAAUUUCCAUCCUGGAACGAGACCCUUCUCUUUUUGCACAAGAAGGGAUGGCACGAGCCACCACCCCGUGAAUUCAGCAAGAGGAGGAGACAGAUGAAGCCCCAGGAGAGGGGAGAGCAGAUACAUUUCCAGCCUGGAGCUGAACGGCGAUGAAGCAACGAAUGCAGAGAGGUUCAGAGGAAUAACCAGAUGUGCAUGCGAUGGCUGGGGCUGCAGAAGGGAGAGAAGACUGUUUUGCAGAGUCCAAGUGCAGGAGUCAUCCUGGCUGUGGAUAUGCUCUCUGGGCGGCAGCGCCGGCUGCUGCUGACUGGCUGUACUGGGCUGUUUGUGGGCAGGGGUCGUGGUCAGCCCACCCCAAGGCUCGUGCCUCUCGCAUGGGGGACAGUGACCCUUGCGAGACAAAGCCACAGGUCAUUGUCUUGGCUGCGGGCUUGGAAAAUAAAUGUAACCCUGGAGAAAAGGUUAAGGUAAAGAGUCAGCAGAAGAAAAAUGGCCCAAGCUGUUGAAAGCCCCUUUCUCUCUGGAGGGAUGGGGAAGGGGAAAGCGAGGUUGUGGUUAGUUUUUCACAAAAGGCUUGUAGGGACUGCUUCUAGAAAGCAGAAGAAGCUGAGCACUGAGUCCUCAGUUCCCUUCAUUAAGGGGAGAAGGCAGCACAAUGAAUUCGCCAUUAAAAUAGUAAUAAUAAAAAGCCAUAGCCCCUAAACUGUUCUGUUUAAAAAUAAUAAUAAAAAUUAAGAGGUAGUUGCCAUUUCACAUGUGGUCUGGCUUAAAUCUUGGGAGCGACGUGGCCCCUGAGAGCUAACCUGCUGGAGCAGAUCCCCGCUGGGUUCAAAGGCAGGGGCGAACCCUGGAGCUUGCUUUCAGCCUUGGGCUGGGCCUGCUAAGGGAUUUGAAGCCCUGAGUGAGUUUUGGAAGAUCUCUUUUCAUGACCAAGCAGUCUGUGGGAAAAAUACAUGGAUAGAUUUGCAGGAAGGGAACAGUUUGGGAUGUGAGGCGAGUCUCUCCAGAUGCUCGCUGGAUUGCUUUGCGGCGCAUGCAGAAAGCUUGCAAUCUUUGGGGCUUUAUAUAAAGCCUGGAGGACAAAGGUCCCCUCUGUAAGCACAGACACAGUCCGCUGCCCCCAAACGAGGUUGGUUCCAACAGUUGAUCUUCAUUUAACACUCCUGAGCCAGAUGAAAAAUUGCAGACAAUCUUGCCGUGUGUACUUAAGAGGGUUUCUAGUUGCUGGUGCACAGGUGUUGCUACAGGGAUGAUGCAGAUGUACCCCGAUGCGUGCUGGCUAAAUAAUCCUGCUUUUCCAAGCUGAUCAGUCCACGCUGGAUUAAAAGGUAAUGCUGACUUGUUCUCAGCUGCGAUAUCUGUUUGUCCUCUUCAGCUCAUCUCCAGUCUCUGUUUGGGAGCGCAUUGCUACACUGAGCACGUGGACAGGAAUUGCGGAGCCUUUUCUCCUGCUAGGAGAGGAAUCUGGAAACAAUUACAAGCUGCUCAUGCUUAAUCACUUGGGUAAAUCUUAAAUGCCUGCCUUAAUAUUUUGCAGAAUUGAAGAUGGCAUCUGAAUUUUUGUGGUGCACAGGUUACGUGGCAGAGCAUGCAGGUUUGGAGGGUUUUGCUCUGUGUGUGUUUGAGGGGUGGCUGGUCCUGAGGACCCCAAAGGUCCUCUGAAAUUCAGGCAUCUGCAGAGACCUGGAUGUGAAGGAGAUCGUUUUGUCCUGGACAAGACUCCUCAGAGAAAUGUCUGAUGUCCUACUACAAGGACACAGAAAGAUGUUUAUUCUUAAAAAUAUCUGGUGAUGGACGCCCUGUGCUCUUCUGUAGCCAAUUCUCUCAACAUUUUGCUGCCCUAACUGCUGGGAAGCCCCUCCUCAUAAUCAUCAUCCUUCUCCACCUAUCCACCAUGGACACUGAAAACUGAUUACCCGUGCUUCUUCACAUCUGCAUUUUCUAUGUUUAAACACUAUUAUCAUGUCUUCUCCCCUGCAAUUCUCUCCCAUCCAGACUAAACAACCACAGUUCAUUCACUUGAGCAUGUAACAAUAUAUUUGUUCGAUGAAAUACAAUUUGUUUAGUGCAGUGGUUCUAAUAACUCUUUCUAUGCCAAAAAUAACAAACAUUUAGCAAAUUUCUCUUCAAAUCUCUAGUCUUAUCAACUGUUUUGACAGUUAAGAUUACCAUUAAGAUUACCAUUUUUAACACAAAUGGUUAGAAUUAAAGCAAUUGCUUUCUAAUUUUUCUGUGUAGAUGUUUGAAUUAUGACUUUUAUAUUGAGCAAUGCAGUUAGAAGUAUUAUAGAACUGUCAUGAAACAUUUAACUUGGUUUUUAAAGAGUAUUCUUUUGGAGACAAAAAGAUACUUUCUAGAUAACUUUUUUACAAGCUAUUAGCUACAAAAAUAUUGCUUUAGCUGUAAGAAAAUAUAUAUUACAAUAAUUGCUCAGUUCCAUGCUUCCACUUGUUUUACUGCUUAGCUCUAGCUUUGCCAUCCAAAGCAGUAAAUUCAUAAUCUCGGGGAAAUUUAUGGUCAGGAUGAAUUUUAUUUUACCAGCUUUUUUUCUGAAGUUGCUUUUAUUUUUGGCAGCUUUUAAUUCUUUUUAGAUAGAUAACUUUUU